GAUACUGACGCUGAGGUGCGAAAAUGUGGGGAGCAAACAGGAUUAGAUACCCUGGUAGUCCACACCGUAAACGAUGGAAGCUAGCCGUUGGACAGGUUACUGUUCAGUGGCGCAGUUAACGCAUUAAGCUUCCCCGCCUGGGGAGUACGUUCGCAAGAUUUAAACUCAAAGGAAUUGACGGGGGCCCGCACAAGCGGUGGAGCAUGUGGUUUAAUUCGAAGCAACGCGCAGAACCUUACCAGCCCUUGACAUCCCGAUCGUGGUUUCCAGAGAUGGAUUCCUUCAGUUAGGCUGGAUCGGUGACAGGUGCUGCAUGGCUGUCGUCAGCUCGUGUCGUGAGAUGCUGGGUUAAGUCCCGCAACGAGCGCAACCCUCGCCCUUAGUUGCCAGCAUUUAGUUGGGCACUCUAAGGGGACUGCCGGUGAUAAGCCGAGAGGAAGGUGGGGAUGACGUCAAGUCCUCAUGGCCCUUACGGGCUGGGCUACACACGUGCUACAAUGGUGGUGACAGUGGGCAGCGAGACCGCGAGGUCGAGCUAAUCUCCAAAAGCCAUCUCAGUUCGGAUUGGGGUCUGCAACUCGACCCCAUGAAGUUGGAAUCGCUAGUAAUCGUGGAUCAGCAUGCCACGGUGAAUACGUUCCCGGGCCUUGUACACACCGCCCGUCACACCAUGGGAGUUGGUUUUACCCGAAGGCGAUACGCUAACCGCAAGGAGGCAGUCGACC
rnacentral:rRNA from 1 species